GAUGAACGCUGGCGGCGUGCCUAAUACAUGCAAGUCGAGCGGUAAGGCUUUCACAGUUUGCUCAAAACGGAGACAGGUCGCGGAAAUUUCGAAGAAAUUUUCGCAUCUUAAUCGAUGUGAUGAACCUCCAACUUACCUCCUACUAUCAUAAAAAGUAGAAAGGAUGUUUGAGCAAAGUGUGAAAGUACACGAGCGGCGGACGGCUGAGUAACGCGUAGGAACGUACCCCAUAGNGAGGGAUAAGCACCGGAAACGGUGUCUAAUACCGCAUAAUCUCUUCGGAGCAAAGCUUUAUGCGCUUUGGGAGCGGCCUGCGUACGAUUAGGUUGUUGGUGAGGUAACGGCUCACCAAGCCGACGAUCGUUAGCUGGUCUGAGAGGAUGAUCAGCCAGAC
rnacentral:rRNA from 1 species